GUUAUACAAAUAAUAUAACUUAAUUUGAUCAGUAAUAAUUAAUUAAGAUUUUAAAUUAAAAUUUAUAAGGUGAAAUUUUAAAUUUUAAUAAAAUUUGGUUUUUAUAAUGAAGUUAAGAAAUUUAAUAGAUAAACUAGGAUUAGAUACCCUUUUAAAUGUAAAUUUAAGUACUAAAUUAGUAAUAGUUAAGUUCUUGAAAAUUAAAAAUUUUGGCGGUAUCUUAGUCUAUUCAGAGGAACCUGUUCUGUAAUUGAUAACCCACGAUUUAAUUUACUUUUCUUAUUAGUUUGUAUAUCAUCGUAAUGGAAUAUUUUAUAAGAAUUAUAAUAUUCAAUAUUUUUUAUAUAAAAAUAAAUCAGAUCAAGGUGCAGUUUAUAGAAAAGAAGAAAUGGGUUACAAUAAAAUUAUUUAGUGAUUGUUAUUUUUAAAAUAAUAUGAAUAUGGAUUUGAAAGUAAAUUUAAUUAAUUAAUUAAAUUGAUUUAGCUCUAAGAUAUGUACACAUCGCCCG
rnacentral:rRNA from 1 species